AUGGGUCCCAUGGCACUCAGGUGCAAGAAUUGUCGCAUGAUGUUUCUAAAUCAAAGGUCAUCUGGCUUUGGUGUCCUGCAGAAAAAGGUGGGUGGCAAUGUCAGCCACUAUAAGGUAGCUUUGUCCCUCCAACUCUUCAUCCAAGAGACUGGAACAGAGGAAGGGGCCUCGUUUCUAGGGCACGGCGGCCGCCUCCAUUUCCCUGGCUUCUCGGCUGAGCACCGUGUCGUCGUGGGCCCUGGGGAAUCCCAGAGCAUUUCCAGAGUUCUCCAAGGACCUGACCCCAGAAGACCCAGAUGUCCCUCUCAAAGUCGAGCAGCCUUACAGGCUCUCAGAAUGUUUGAAGAUGAUAAAAAUGAGGGGAAAGUAGCAAGACCCUGUUUUAUCAGCGUAUGAUUGGUCCGAAGAGUCCAGAAAAGAGGAUACUGCUAAGUUUCUCAUCUAUAUAGGAUGCAGACAUUGAAUGUUUUUGCUUUCUUGUGCUUUUUUAACUCUCACACAUUGGGAACGCCUUAUUCUUUGUGGCCCUAUUUCAUAUCUGUGUUUCGAUCUCUGCGAAUUCUCAAGAACGCAAUGCUACUACGCGAGUCACACUUGAAUGACCCUAAAACAGAUAAGGAAAGUCACACUUGAACGACCCUGAAACAUAUAAGUAAACAAAAAGCUUCAGAAAGCUCACACGCUUCUUGUUACCUGAAAUUGAUGUGGUUAUAGACUGACAUCCCACCAACACAGAACAGGCUGAUGAAAAGAAGUAUUUGUUGUUUUGCAAAGUUUUUGCCAGCCAGAACACAACACAAAACUUUCUUUGGGUUGCAAUGAAUCACCUAAGUCAGGAAACAAAGUGAUUUUAACGACUAAUAAUCACAAUGCCUUAUCUUACUUGUAAUAUUUGCAAAAUGUUCUUGACAUCACCAAGGCCACAGCCCUAGAAAGAGGAGGGAGAGCGGACAUGGGCGCAUUCAUUGAGUCCUUGCUAUGUACCACGUGCUUCCAUUUACAUGGUAAAAAAUCUCAGGCCGGUGUGAUUAUUCUCAAUUUCCAGAUGAAGAUACAGAGUCACUGAGAUAAGGAAUUUACUCCAAAUUAUGCAGCGAGAGAAUGGGGCACUGGAGCCCAUGCUUUCUCUCCACCAUGCUGCCUCUUGGAGUUACCCAAGAAAAACUUUCAUGAGAAUUCACUAAUUUACCAAAGAUUUCAUUUUACCCCUAUACUUAACCAGAAAAUAACAUUUUCUCAAGAUCCAAAACUGUUAAUUCUAUUGAAGAAGAGUCAAGACAACCAAAAUAUCUGAAUUGUUACAUCACGUGCUUUGAUUACUGGAAAAGAUACAUGAUCUUGAUACUCAAACUUUCCAGUCUCCCCCACAGUGAGAUGUUGGAAACUUACAUAUCACAAUAUUCACCGUCCCCCAAAAUAUAAGUGGGUCAAACUCAUUGAGUUAAAAAGCAGACAUUAUCAUCCUUGGAUAAACCCUGUUAGGGAGACGUCUAAAGCAAAAGGACAUGGAAAAGCUGAAAGCAAAAGGUGGGGAAAAGACACCAAAAAAAAUUAAAAGAGAACUGGCAUAACUACAUCAGUAUGACACACACACUAGGACUCUAAGACAGAAAAGGUUUCUAUAUAAAAAUGAAAUUUUCAUGUCACCUAGAAGACAAUAAUUCUAAAUGUAUGUGCACCUAAUAAAAUUGUCUCACACCAUAUACAUAAAAAAGUAAUAGAGGCUGGGCACGGUGGCUCACACCUGUAAUACUAGCACUUUAGGAGACCGAGGCGGGUGAAUCACCUGAGGUCAGGAGUUUGAGACCAGCCUGGCCAAUAUGGUGAAACCCCGUCUCUACUAAAAAUACAAAAAUUAGCCAGGCGCAGUGGUGCAUGCCUGUAAUCCCAGCUACCUGGGAGGCUGAGGCAGGAGAAUUGCUGCAAGGUUCCAGCCGGGAACCUUCCACCUAACUGGGAAGUGGAGGCUGCAGUGAGCCGAGAUCAUGCCACUGCACUCCAGCCUGGGCGCCAGAGUGAGACUCUGUCUUUAAAAAAAAAAAAAAAAAGUAAUAGAAAUUGACAAAUCCACCAAUGCUUUUUUCUCAAUAAUUGGUAGGUCAAGUAGCAAGAAAGAAUCAAUAAAUAGGCUGGGCACAGUGGCUCACGCCUGUAAUCCCAGCACUUUGGGAGGCUGACAUGGGCAGAUCACCAGAGGUCAGGAGUUCA
rnacentral:lncRNA from 1 species